ACAAUACAGAGAUCUUUUACGGCAAUACAUAUAUUUACUCAGGCCCUUACACUCAAGCACAAGGUGUGAAAGUCUAGCCAUACAUGUUUUCAGUGGCAUACAGGCCUUCACAGAUUUGGGAGCUUUAGCACUCAGACCAUGUUGUUCUGCUCCUGGUUCCAGAGUUAUUUCUGCCUCCCUUGGAGUGGCAGUGGUUUCCUAGAAUUCCAUGAAAUUGAGGUAUCAAAUCUUUGGACUCUGAUUGGAAGAACCUGUGGCAUGAGACUCAUGACAAAUUCUCUUUCAGAGCAGUAGAAAGCCUAAUGAAGAGUUUAUCAGCAUCCAUGUGUAUCUUGUGUACAUUUAUUGUACACAUUAAGGAUUUGAGCCUGCUUAAUAAAUUAAGAUUUUCCUCCACCUUUGUGAAGGGAGAAAAUGAAUUUGAAACAAGGCUUCAGAAAAGAGUAAAUGAUGAAUGAACUCAUUCAAUGACCUUCAGAUCCUCUGACUCAUGGAGCUCAGAAGUGCACACUGUGCUCCAGGUGAGGCCACGCCAACACUGAGCACAGCAGGAUAAUUGUCUCUUUUGACUGUUGGGUCGUGUGGGGUUUGAUGUGCCCCAGGCUGAGGUUUGCCCUCUGGGCUGCCAGGGCAGUGCUGGCUCCCACUGAACCUCCUGCUGGCCAACACCCCCGGAUCACUUUUCUCAGGGUUGAUCUCCUUGUGCCUUGCAUUACUCCAUUCUAGGUGCAGAAUCCAUCAAAGAAUACAAUUACUUAUAUUUGUGAGAAGACAAUUUUGUAUUUCACUUUGUGUUAGACUUCUGGUUUUAAAGUAUCUAAGUGUCAUUUCUGUUCUUUCCUGUCCAUUUAUAUUAUUGUUCAUUGUUUCAAAUGUUUUAUUC